UUUCAAUUUUCCUUGAGUGCAGCCAUUUUUGCUAGCUGGUGAUCCCAGGCAGCUGUGUAAGCAAGAGGGCAGAAAGCCCUGUUCCAGAAGGCAUCCCACAUGGACACAACUCCUGCUGCAGAUUGCCCCAUGAAGGAGCUUCUCUCUUCAUUAACUCCAAGGAAAGCUGAGAAAGACAGGCUGGCUUUUCAGGACUUGUGUCAUCUUUGGAAGCACUCUUUCACACCCUACCAAGAUGAUUUCAGGAAAUGACCAACAGACCCAGUAACACCAAGGAACAGCUCUGUAAGUUCACUUUGCAAGAAUAAGUGAACUGUCUUGGUUUCUUUCAAAUGCUUGUACAUCACAUACCUGCUGGCAAUACAGCUGUAAAUUAACAAGACCUUACAGGUCUAAGAAGAGUUUGUGGGAUUUUUACUUAUGAGGCUAUGAAGAUGGCUGCAUUGUAGCAAUUCUGCUGCAUUCCGAUUGCGCCCAUCCCUCAGUGCACUAUGACACUGGACACUGUGCUAAUGCAGCGUGCCUGGCUAUCAGGCUGGAAACACCACCUGAAAGGAUCAUUUUCCAGUGUGCCGAGCGUUCUACUGCUAAGGCAUUUGUGCUGAGCUUAAAAAAUGUGAGCCAGCCUCUUGAUUCACAUCUCUACAAAUUUUCCCUCCAAAACGGAUGAUUGCUCAGUUAGUUUUAGCUGAAAAGAAGUUCAAUAGCGAGUCACAAAUAAUUAUGGCAACAUGACAGACGAAUAAUAUCUACUGCCUGACCACUCACUAGAUAAUCCCAAACUGCAAGCUAGCAGUAAAAGAAAUUAAGAGCAAACACAGAAUGCUGUACAACAGAGGCUAUCAGAACAAAACGUUUGACUCUGUGCCACCUGUUUAAAUUGGUUUUGCACCCAUAAGAAUGAACGGACCUUCGUAACCCCGGCGCUCGCCUUACGACGCCAGGGCUGGCCGUGACCUGCCGGGCGGUGUCGGGCAGCCCGUCCGCAGCCCUCUGUCCAGCCGCACGGCGAGCACCCCCGCUGCGGGGCCGCAGCACCAGCACGGCUCUCGGGGAGCGGUACGGGGGUCUCGCAUCCCUCCGCAUCCCUCCUCUGGGCUCUCCCGCAGCCCCUCCGCCGCUCCGUGCCGUCCCGGCUCCUGCGGCUCCUCCUUGGCCGCGGGAGCCGCGGGCGCUGCUCCGGCCGCG
rnacentral:lncRNA from 1 species